GACGAACGCUGGCGGCGUGCUUAACACAUGCAAGUCGAACGGAAAGGCCCUGCUUUUGUGGGGUGCUCGAGUGGCGAACUGGUGAGUAACACGUGAGUAACCUGCCCUUGACUUUGGGAUAACUUCAGGAAACUGGGGCUAAUACCGGAUAGGAGCUCCUGCUGCAUGGUGGGGGUUGGAAAGUUUCGGCGGUUGGGGAUGGACUCGCGGCUUAUCAGCUUGUUGGUGGGGUAGUGGCUUACCAAGGCUUUGACGGGUAGCCGGCCUGAGAGGGUGGCCGGCCACCUGGGGACUGCGGUACGGCCCAGACUCCUACGGGAGGCAGCAGUGGGGAAUAUUGCACAAUGGGCGGAAGCCUGAUGCAGCAACGCCGCGUGCGGGAUGACGGCCUUCGGGUUGAAAACCGCUUUCGCAUGUGACGAAGCGUGAGUGACGGUAAUGAGUAAAGAAGCACCGGCUAACUACGUG
rnacentral:rRNA from 1 species